UGGGGAAUCUUGCGCAAUGGGCGAAAGCCUGACGCAGCAACGCCGCGUGCGGGAAGAAGGCCUUCGGGUUGUAAACCGCUGUCAGGAGGGACGAAGCCACUCAGGUGAAUAGCCGAGAGGGUGACGGUACCUCCACAGGAAGCCCCGGCUAACUACGUGCCAGCAGCCGCGGUAAUACGUAGGGGGCUAGCGUUGUCCGGAAUCAUUGGGCGUAAAGCGCGUGUAGGCGGCUUGCCAAGUCCGAUGUGAAAGCUCGGGGCUCAACCCCGGGUCUGCAUUGGAAACUGGCUUGCUUGAGUCCGGAAGAGGAGACUGGAAUUCCUGGUGUAGCGGUGAAAUGCGCAGAUAUCAGGAAGAACACCGGUGGCGAAGGCGGGUCUCUGGGACGGUACUGACGCUGAGACGCGAAAGCGUGGGGAGCAAACAG
rnacentral:rRNA from 1 species